GACGAACGCUGGCGGCGUGCCUAAUACAUGCAAGUCNUAGCGGACAUCUCCGGAUGUUAGCGGCGGACGGGUGAGUAACACGUGGGCAAUCUGCCUGACAGACUGGAAUAACGCCUGGAAACGGGUGCUAAUGCCAGAUAGCGCAGCGGGUAGGCAUCUACCAGCUGGGAAAGGUGCUACGGCAUCACUGUCAGAGGAGCCCGCGGCGCAUUAGCCAGUUGGUGAGGUAACGGCCCACCAAGGCGACGAUGCGUAGCCGACCUGAGAGGGUGACCGGCCACACUGGGACUGAGACACGGCCCAGACUCCUACGGGAGGCAGCAGUAGGGAAUCUUCCGCAAUGGGCGAAAGCCUGACGGAGCAACGCCGCGUGAGCGAAGAAGGCCUUCGGGUUGUAAAGCUCAGUCACCCGGGAAGAGCGANUCGGAGAGGGAAUGCUCCGAUUGAGACGGUACCGGGAGAGGAAGCCCCGGCUAACUACGUGCCAGCAGCCGCGGUAAUACGUAGGGGGCAAGCGUUGUCCGGAAUCACUGGGCGUAAAGCGUGCGUAGGCGGUUUGUUAAGUUCGGGGUGAAAGUCCAAGGCUCAACCUUGGGAAUGCCUUGAAAACUGGCAGACUUGAGUACUGGAGAGGCAAGGGGAAUUCCACGUGUAGCGGUGAAAUGCGUAGAGAUGUGGAGGAAUACCAGUGGCGAAGGCGCCUUGCUGGACAGUGACUGACGCUGAGGCACG
rnacentral:rRNA from 1 species